ACUGAGGGAGGAGGGGCGUGGUGUGCCUGGUUUUAUAGGGUUUCGUGCAUUUAUCGCGCGUACCUUGUUAGGUUAGAAGUUAUUUUCGAGUUAUGGAUGGUUGUUGUGAUUGUUGUGGUAGUUGGUUCUAUUUUACAUGACUGCGGAUUUUCGUGGGGUUUGUUUUAUUUUCACAUUUUGUGUGCCAGAGGUCUGCUUGGAGGAGCAGGAUACCUUCGAUCUUUCCUUGGUGAAGGUUGUUUAACUCUUUUUUUAGGUGA
rnacentral:lncRNA from 1 species